rnacentral:rRNA from 1 species
UACGGAGGGGGCUAGCGUUGUUCGGAAUUACUGGGCGUAAAGCGCACGUAGGCGGCUUUGUAAGUUAGAGGUGAAAGCCCCGGGCUUAACCUGGGAAUGGCCGUUGAAACUGGCGAACUGGAGUGUGGCAGAGGGGGGUGGAAUUCCGCGUGUAGCAGUGAAAUGCGUAGAGAUGCGGAGGAACACCGAUGGCGAAGGCAGCCCCCUGGGCUAACACUGACGCUCAGGCACGAAAGCGUGGGGAGCAAACAGG